UGACCUCAAAUCAGGUAGGAUUACCCGCUGAACUUAAGCAUAUCAAUAAGCGGAGGAAAAGAAACCAACUGGGAUUACCUUAGUAACGGCGAGUGAAGCGGUAAAAGCUCAAAUUUGAAAUCUGGUACUUUCAGUGCCCGAGUUGUAAUUUGUAGAAUUUGUCUUUGAUUAGGUCCUUGUCUAUGUUCCUUGGAACAGGACGUCAUAGAGGGUGAGAAUCCCGUUUGGCGAGGAUACCUUUUCUCUGUAAGACUUUUUCGAAGAGUCGAGUUGUUUGGGAAUGCAGCUCAAAGUGGGUGGUAAAUUCCAUCUAAAGCUAAAUAUUGGCGAGAGACCGAUAGCGAACAAGUACAGUGAUGGAAAGAUGAAAAGAACUUUGAAAAGAGAGUGAAAAAGUACGUGAAAUUGUUGAAAGGGAAGGGCAUUUGAUCAGACAUGGUGUUUUUUGCAUGCACUCGCCUCUCGUGGGCUUGGGCCUCUCAAAAAUUUCACUGGGCCAACAUCAAUUCUGGCAGCAGGAUAAAUCAUUAAGAAUGUAGCUACUUCGGUAGUGUUAUAGCUUUUUGGAAUACUGUUAGCCGGGAUUGAGGACUGCGCUUCGGCAAGGAUGUUGGCAUAUGGUUAAUGCCGCCGU
rnacentral:ncRNA from 1 species